rnacentral:rRNA from 1 species
AUUGAACGCUGGCGGCAUGCCUUACACAUGCAAGUCGAACGGCAGCGCGGACUUCGGUCUGGCGGCGAGUGGCGAACGGGUGAGUAAUUCAUCGGAACGUACCCUGUUGUGGGGGAUAACUAGUCGAAAGAUUAGCUAAUACCGCAUACGACCUGAGGGUGAAAGUGGGGGACCGCAAGGCCUCACGCAGCAGGAGCGGCCGAUGUCGGAUUAGCUAGUUGGUGGGGUAAAGGCCCACCAAGGCGACGAUCAGUAGGUGGUCUGAGCGGACGAUCAGCCACGCUGGGACGGAGACACGGUCCAGACUCCUACGGGAGGCAGCAGUGGCGAAUUUUGGACAAUGGGGGCACCCCUGAUCCAGCAAUGCCGCGUGUGUGAAGAAGGCCUUCGGGUUGUAAAGCACUUUUGUCCGGAAAGAAAUCGCGCUGGUUAAUCCCUGGCGUGGAUGACGGUACCGGAAGAAUAAGCACCGGCUAACUACGUGCCAGCAGCCGCCGUAACAC